rnacentral:rRNA from 1 species
UACGUAGGGGGCGAGCGUUGUCCGGAGUUACUGGGCGUAAAGCGCUUGUAGGCGGUCCACCAAGUUUGGGGUGACAGUUGCCGACUUAAUCGGCAAAGUACCUCAAAGACUGGCGGACUUGAGGGCCACAGAGGGACAUGGAACUCCAGGUGUAGUGGUGAAAUGCGUAGAUAUCUGGAAGAACACCAAAGGCGAAGGCAGUGUCCUGGGUGGUCGCUGACGCUGAGAGGCGAAAGCCAGGGGAGCGAACGGG